rnacentral:rRNA from 1 species
CGGAGGGAUCAUUACUGGCUUAGGCUAGCGCCCUAAAAGCGCGCUCCAGCCCGUUCUACCCCCUUGCGAACCUACCUGAAAACGUUGCUUCGGCGGGCAGCUUUAGGGUGGGGCCACCCGCGGCCUGGGCGCAUUCCCGGGUGCCUGCUGCGAGCCUACUAUAAAAUAUCUCCUACCUAAAAGUCCUAUCUGAGCCUUCCGACCUGGUGUGCCGCUGGCGAGGAUUUCUUCCAAUCAAAACUUUUAACAACGGAUCUCUUAGUUCUAGCAUUGAUAAAGAACGCAGCGAAAUGCGAUAAGUAAUGUGAAUUGCAGAAUUCAGCGAAUUAUCGAAUCUUUAAACGCACAUUGCACCCGCCAGUAUUUUAGCGGGCAUGCCUAUCUGAGCGUUAUUAACACCCCUUAGGCGCGCGGGCCGCUAUAGGCCCGCCGCGCCCGGCGUUGAGGCUAGCGGCGAAGCGCAUCCCGCGCCGCCGCGGCCCUUAAAUGCAGUAGCGGAACCCUGCCCGAGACCCCGAGCGCAGUAGCACCAUGCUCACUCCGGGGCGCCCGCGGGGCCCACCGCCAGCCACGCACAGCCGCAACCUCCAUACACAAGAUAUUGACCUUAGAUUAGGUAGGAAGACCUGCUAAACUUAAG